rnacentral:rRNA from 1 species
UCGCAGCAGGCCGGGAAACCUUAACAAUGCAGGAAACUUGUGAUAAGGGAACCCCGAGUUGCCCGUAAACGCGGGCUGUCCCGGUGUUUAAACACAUCGAAGAAAGGGCCGGGCAAGACCGGUGCCAGCCGCCGCGUAAUACCGGCGGCUCGAGUGGUGACCACUUUUAUUGGGCUUAAAGCGUUCGUAGCUUGAUUUUUAAGUCUCUGGGAAAUCUCACGGCUUAACUGUGAGGCGUCUAAGAGAUACUGGGAAUCUAGGGACCGGGAGAGGUAAGAGGUACUUCAGGGGUAGAAGUGAAAUUCUGUAAUCCUUGAGGGACCACCGAUGGCGAAGGCAUCUUACCAGAACGGCUUCGACAGUGAGGAACGAAAGCUGGGGGAGCGAACGGGAUUAGAUACCCCGGUAGUCCCAGCCGUAAACUAUGCGCGUUAGGUGUGCCUGUAACUACGAGUUACCGGGGUGCCGAAGUGAAAACGUGAAACGUGCCGCCUGGGAAGUACGGUCGCAAGGCUGAAACUUAAAGGAAUUGGCGGGGGAGCACCACAACGGGUGGAGCCUGCGGUUUAAUUGGACUCAACGCCGGGCAGCUCACCGGAUAGGACAGCGGAAUGAUAGCCGGGCUGAAGACCUUGCUUGACCAGCUGAGAGGAGGUGCAUGGCCGUCGUCAGUUCGUACUGUGAAGCAUCCUGUUUAGUCAGGCAACGAGCGAGACCCACGCCAACAGUUGCUAGCAUGUUCUCCGGAAUGAUGAGGACACUGUUGGGACCGCCUCUGCUAAAGAGGAGGAAGGAAUGGGCAACGGUAGGUCAGCAUGCCCCGAAUUAUCCGGGCUACACGCGGGCUACAAUGGUCAGGACAAUGGGAAACGGCACUGAAAAGUGUAGUCAAUCUCCUAAACCUGUCCCAAGUUCGGAUUGUGGGCUGCAACUCGCCCACAUGAAGCUGGAAUCCGUAGUAAUCGCGUUUCAAAAUAGCGCGGUGAAUAAGUCCCUGCUCCUUGCACACACCG